rnacentral:lncRNA from 1 species
ACCUGCCGCGCGGUCGCAACUCUGUCUCAUCGUCUGGUUCCGGACCCCGAGGCUCCUGCUCUCCCGCGGCUGCCGGCAGCGCCUCAGCGUCCUCCACAGUCACCUCGGCCGCAGCCACGGCGCCCGCCGCCGGUACUCGCGUCGCUGAGGUGGGAGCAGCGGCCGCCCCGAGGCCGAACGCCGCCUCCGCCGUCGGCGCUGGGAGGCCACGGGCGCGCCCCGCGGCCACCGUCCUUGCCGCGAGCCCCAGCAGCAGCAGCAGCAGCAGCAGCGCCCGUACCAGCAGCCCCGGGCUGAUGGCGCGCUCCAUCAGCGUCCCGCCCCGCGCGCAGGCAUGGAGGCGCAGCCACUGACGCCUGCCUCUCCCGCCGCUUGGAGCUCCCAAGAAGGCAAGGACGUGCUAGGGACCCUACUGCCGCCCCGACGGCCUGGACAGCCAGCCGUGUUCCCCUGGCCACGUCUCAGCCCGGCCUCUGCCGCUGCCACCUGAGUGACAGCCUAUCUCGGACAUCGCCCAUUGAGCAAACUUUCCGCGCGUUUGCUCUCUCAUUGGCUGCGGCCGCUGCCACUCCAUGUUCCCAGGCUGGCCUUGUUGGGGAAGGUGGACUUUCCCUGGUGGUCAACAUCGCACCUACCAAUCAAAUCGUAAUUUCGUCGUUCGAGGCCCGUCCCUCUUCCGGACGCAAUUACCAAUGAGAAAUGCCCUUCCCCGACGUCUUUUUACCUGAUUGGUGCGCUCAUCAGUUCCCGGAAUACCUUUCCUACAACAGAUUGGCCAUCGCGGUGGUUGGCCUCGCCCCACAAAGCGAGGCGCUGGAGAAGACUUGAAGAUCAUUGGUGGAAGUGGAUGUCCCUCAAAGGUCUGCGCUAACUGCCUCUUGAUUGGUUGGAAGCGGCACUUACUACGUGGCGGAUUCUGACUGUGAAGAGGACUGUCCCAAGUGAAGAGUGGGAGGCAAGUGCCUUGUGACCGGGAGGAGGUCGACCUUAAAGGAGCUGGUAUUGUAGCUCUUCUAAAGCCUAGUCUACUUAGGAAGGCAAAAGCGAAGCAGCAAGAAGUGGCCACAGAAGCCGUGUGGUCCCUAGAAGUAGAAGGGUAAGGAGGAUGCAGGAGAUGGUCCUACUUGUGGCCGCAACGGGGCUCAGAAGUCCGCUUGUUAGAGAUGGCAGUGACCUGUGACAAUCCAGUCUGCCCGACACGCCUCCCGCCUCCUUAGGAACGGGAAGGAGCCCCGGCCCAGUGCACUGACGUAGUUAGCCUAAGAUCACGUAGCUGGUUGGUCACAGAAUCAUGACUUUAAUUCAUGUCUUCUGACUCUGACCUGGCACGCUUUGUACCUCACCAAAGACAGUGAUGAAAUUGCAAAAGGGCAGAGUGGAGAAGACUGGAAUGUUCAGCCAAGGCAUUUGAACUUUUAAUGCUGCAAGUCAAGACUUCCUGAAGAUUUUUGAGCAGAUGAGUGAAGUGAUAAGAAAAUGCAUCUUCAGCAGUGACAGCAUCAACGAGGAGGAGACUGGCCGGGAGGCUAUUACCCGCAUCAAAACCAGUGAACAUUAAAAAAAAUUUUUUUUUUAGAGAGAGGGUCUUGCUCUUUUGCCCAGGCUGGAGUGCAGUGGCUUGACCAUAGUUCUCUAUAACCUUGAAUUCCUGCGUUCAAGCGAUCUUCCUUCCUCAGCUUCCGGAGUAGCUGGGACUACAGAUGCGUGCCACCAUGCCAGGCCAAUUUUUAAUUUUGUUUUGUAAAGAUGGGGUUUCUGUGUUGCCCAGGUUGGUCUCAAAUUCCUGGCCUCAAGCCAUCCUCCCGCCUCAGCCUCCCAAAGUGCUGCAAUUUACGGGCAUUAGCCACCGCACCUGGUCCAAAACCGGUGAAGAUUUGUUAAGGUGUUGGCAAUAUGGGUAUACCUAGAUUAUCCUUCAUCUGCUAAAAACAUGCUCUAAUCUCUCCCCAGCCCAAAACAAACAAGAAACCUCUCUUCCCCUUCCAGCUCCUACCACGUGUCUUUGCUCCUCUGUAUGGCAAAACUCAAGUGUUCAAAAUUCCUUAUCUUCAAUUCCUCUUCUCCCAUUCCCAAGUACACUACAGUCAGGCAUUCACACCACCAAAACUGCUCUCGCUGAGGCCACCAGUGCUGUAUUCAAAGGAUAAUCUUUGUUUUAUCAGCUGUAUUUGAUCCAGCAACUCAAGUUUUUCCUGUCUAGAACACCUUUCACCGGUCUUCUUGCUUCUCCAUAGUGCUGGUCGUAACCCUCAAAAGGUCCCCCAGUUCACUCAGGAUAAAAGUCAAGUCCUUAAAAUAGACUACAGGGUGCUACAGCAUCUGGUUCCUAUGGCUUUUCUGAUCUCAUUUCAUACUGUCUUUGCUCACUCCACUGGGCCAAUCAAGACCCACCUGGGGGGUUUUCCUUUGUUGUUUUGCCUGCCUAGGAAACUUCCCAGGUAUAUGAGUUUGCUAGAGUUGCCCUAACAAAUACCACAGACCAGGUGGCCUGAACAAAACUAGUUUAUUUUCUCGAAGUUCUGGAGGCUAGAAGUCCAAGAUCAAGGUGGGAUUCUGAGGCCUCUCUCCUUGGCUUGCCGAUGACAGCCCUCUUACUUCCUCUUCCCUCUGAUGUCUCUUCCUAUUCUUCUAACACCAGUCAGAUUGGAGUGUGGGGCUACCUUUAACAGCCUCAUUUUAACUUAAUCACUGCUUUAAAGAUCUUAUCUCCAAAUACAGUAUAGUUAUAUUCUGAAGCACUAAAGGUUGGGACUUCAACAUGUAAAUUUUGGAGGGACACAAUUUAGCACAUAAUACCCAGGUACCCACAAGAUAUGUUCCCUCACUUUAUUUGAGGCUUUGCUAAUCCCAGUGAAGUCCCUCCUCACUACCUUAUUUAAAAUUAAAACCUCCACCACCUUCCUUCCUUUAUUUCUCUCCUGCUUUAUUUCUGCUUAGCCGAUACAUACAUUACAAAUAUGUAAAUACUGUAAUUUACAUAUUUGUUUUGUUUAUUGUCUGCUGUGUUUCCUUCCACUUGCAUGUAAAUUCUGUGAAGAUUUGCUCAUUGAUGUAUUCGAAGACAUAAAACAGUGCAAAGUGUUUAGCAAGCAUUUAAUAAAUGUUUGUUGAAUGAAUGAAUGAAUGAAUGAAUACCUGAGGACAGAAGGAAAGAGACAACUGGAAAGGAAGAGACUGCAGUUGCUGUAGACAGAGGGGGUUGAUUACGAGAGCAAGAUUCCAGAGUAUCUGGAGGAAAAGGGGCAGCUCUGCCUUCCAUGUUGAAAGUAGAGCGUAGGAGGUAUUCCUAGAGAGUAAGUUAUUUUGAAAAGUAGAGAAAAUAGAUGAGCGAACUCAAACCAAUUGACCAUUAUCUACUCAACAAAAUAGGAGAUAAAAUUGCCCACCUAAAAGGGAUUAUACUAGUUGGUAUGAGGAAGGUGUCAGAAAAUUAACAUAAGAUGAAAAAUGAUUGUUAACUACCUGUUUGAAAUUAGUGUAUAUAUUUUAGUGGGCCUGGUCUUCAUGGUUUUGUAAUUUUUUCAAAAAAUGAUCAUGGCAUGAACAAGGCUAUUAAUCUGAACUAAUGAAUUAGGAGUCUACUUGCCACCUGUAAAUACUGUGGAAGUUUUAUUUAUUCAUUUAACAUUCAGGGAUUCCACAUGACCACCUGCAAAUAAUGAGAAUAAAGAUAUGAACAAAAUAGAUGUGGUUCCCGCCCUUCUGAAGGUUAACACCUAUCUAGUUAGGGAGACAGACAUUAACAAUCACACAUAUAUUAUUAAAACUGAGAUAAGUGCUAUGAUGAAAAAGGCGCGGGCAGAAGAGCACAGUGGUGGAAAAUGCCAGUAAGGAGAGUCAAGCUUUAUACUUGGGAACAAAACACAAAUUUUCCAUUUUGGAAAAAAAGCCUGAGUCGAAGUGUGCUGACUGGGAAAAUAAAUUAAGGAGAGAAAAGAGAGUCUACCUGCUUUAGGACAGCAUGGAGCUUCACAGUGACUUUGUGGGAACUCUGGAACCUGGGUGCCUCAGGGAAAUGUAAGAAAGUGGGGACCGGGCAUGAGAGCUGGCCCGUGAGGCUGGGCCAGGAAAAGAAGCUGGUGCUCAGGUACCCUGAGCCAGGGUUGCCCAAAACAACCAAGAUUCUACAACUGAGUGUGGCCCAAAAAAUCAGCAAAAUAGGUCUGAGAUUUAGAAACAGUGAGUUCAAUCCCUUAACAGAGAGAGACUGCAUCUGUUGAAAUGAUAUUUGAUUGUGAAUAACAAAAACGUUGCCAUAUAGUGGGUGAAGCAAGAAGUGGGUUUUUUUUUUUUACUGACACCACAGCUCUACAGUGAUGUUUUAUUUAAACUUAUGCUCCUUCUGUUUCUCCAUGCUUCAUGGGUGACUUUGUUCCUUUUGCCUGUCGUCUCACUGUUUUGGGAUGGCAACUCCAGUAUCAUUUCUUUAUUAUAGGUAGGACAAAGAGGAAUGACAAAAGGCAUGUAACCACCUGAAUUUGCCCCUAUCAAAGAGCUCUCCAGGAAGCACCACCAAGGAAUUUUCACUGACAUUUCCCAGGCCAGACCAUGCUGCUGCUAAGCAAAAUGAGGAUUCUGCUAGUGAGGAUGAAAGGAAGAAUGUGUAAUCAGUUUUCUUGAAGUAUAAUACAUGUACAAUAAACUGAACCUAUUGGAAAUAUACAUUUGGAUGAGUUUUGACAGAUGUAUAUACCACAGUCAAGAUACAGAACAUUCCCAUCACUCCAAGAGAUUCUUUGUGUCCCUUUGUGGUCAAUCCCUCCUACACGAGGCCCCUAGGUAACCGCUGAUCUGUUUUCCAUCACAAUAGAUUAGUCUGCAUAUUCUAGCAUCUUUAAUAAAUGCAGUCAUACAGUAUGUACUUUUGUGUCUUACUUUUUUCACUCCAUAUAAUGUUUUUAAAUUUAUUCAUGUUGUUGAAUGUAGCAAUACUUAGUUCCUUUUUACUGCUGAGUAGUACUCUGCUUUAUAUGUUCCAUGUUUCUUUAUCCAUUUACUUGUUGGAGUACAUUUGGUAUAUUUUCAAUUUUUGGCGAUUACACAUAAAGCUACUAUGAGAACAUUUAUGUACGUACAGGUCUUUUUGUAGAUGUAGGUUUUUAUUUCUCUUGGGUAAAUACCUAGAUGUGGAAUAACUCGCUCAUAUAGUAGAUGGAUGUUUAACUUUAUAAGAAUCUGCCAAGCAUUUUCACAAAGUGAUGUACCAUUUUAUACCCCCACCAGUGGUGCACGAGAGUUCAAGUUGUUCUAUAUCCUCACCAACAUUUGGUAAUUGUCUUUUUAAUUCUAACUAUUCUAGUAGGUAUGUGAUGCCAUUUCAUUGUAGCUUUGGUUUGCAUAUCCCUGACGACUAGUGAUUUUGAACAUCUUUUAAUGUGCUUGUUGGACAUUAUAUAUCAUCUUUUGUAAAAUGUCUAUUAAAAGUGUUUAUAAAGAGAGAAAUGUUUAUGGGUAGGCACUCUUGAAGAGUUUGCCACACAGUGAAAUUUGUUGUGUUGUACCAGUUAGCUAUUGGCAUAGCAAUGCUGUGUAAGCAACCAUCCCAAAAUUCAGUGGCUUUAAACAGCAAAAAUGUAUACUCUGACACCCUUCACCUGGAGUUGCCUGAUCUAGCUAGAGCAC